rnacentral:rRNA from 1 species
CCUACGGGGGGCAGCAGUGGGGAAUUUUGGACAAUGGGCGCAAGCCUGAUCCAGCCAUGCCGCGUGCGGGAAGAAGGCCUUCGGGUUGUAAACCGCUUUUGUCAGGGAAGAAAAGGUUCUGGCUAAUACCUGGGACUCAUGACGGUACCUGAAGAAUAAGCACCGGCUAACUACGUGCCAGCAGCCGCGGUAAUACGUAGGGUGCAAGCGUUAAUCGGAAUUACUGGGCGUAAAGCGUGCGCAGGCGGUUAUGCAAGACAGAGGUGAAAUCCCCGGGCUCAACCUGGGAACUGCCUUUGUGACUGCAUGGCUAGAGUACGGUAGAGGGGGAUGGAAUUCCGCGUGUAGCAGUGAAAUGCGUAGAUAUGCGGAGGAACACCGAUGGCGAAGGCAAUCCCCUGGACCUGUACUGACGCUCAUGCACGAAAGCGUGGGGAGCAAACAGGAUUAGAUACCCCGGUAGUC